GGCAGCCAAGCAGCAUUCUAACAAGCUCAAAAUCUGGGUGAUGUUGUAUGGAAAAGCCCUCUGUGGUCAGGAGUCCCUACCCAUUCCAAAUUGCAGCAUAAGCAUGAAGCACCACAAAAAUCCUACUUAGAAUCAGUGUAAAUGUUAACUUUUAAUACUUUCUCAACUGCAGGGCUCUGGAAAAUUUAAUUAACUCAGCUUUUUGAGCUGAGGUAGAGGCCAGUAGGACUUGUGACUUGAUUAACUUGUGCUGACUGAUAAGAGUAUGUCUGGCCCUCCUGUUUUCCUGAUGCAUAAAACAACUUGCAUCUGUUAACCACUCUUCCUUGGGAUGGUCAAGGAGCUCAUCUCAAGUCUGGCCAGCUAGAAUAAAUUUGUUUCAUAACCUGUGACAUGGUUUGGCUGUGUCUCCAGUCAAAUCUUAUCUUAAAUUUGUAGCUCUCAUAAUUUCCAUGUGUCUUCGGAGGGACCCAGUUGGAGGUAAUUGAAUUGGGUGGGGGCUUCCCAUGCUGUUCUUGUGACACUGAAUAAGCCUCAUGAAAUCUGAUGAUUUCACUUUCAUUUUUUUUGCUUGUUUUUUUUAGACAUAGUCUUGCUCCGUUGCGCAGGCUGGAGUGCAGUGGCACGAUGUCGGCUCACUGCAGCAUCUGUCUCCUGGGCUCAAGUGAUUUGCCUUUCUGAGCCACUUGGGUAGCUGGGAUUACAGGUACCCACCAACAUGCCUGGCUAAUUUUCUUAUUUCAAGUGAAGAUGUGAUUUCACCAUAUUGGUCAGGCUGGUCUCAAACUCCUGACUUCAGGUGAUCCAUCCAGCUUGGCAACCCAAAGUGCUGGGAUUACUCCCCUUUAUAAAGUGGAGUUUUUCUACACAAGCUCUUUCGCCUGCUGCCAUGUAGGAGAUGUGACUUUGCUCCUUCUUUACCUUCUGCCGUGAUUGUGAGGCCUCCCCAGCCAUGUGGAACUGCUGUACAGAAGACAUAGCACUGGCAUAUGCUUCUGGGGAGGCCUCUGGAAGUCUACAAUCAUGGCAGAAGAUGAAGCAGAAUCUUGCACAUCACAGGACAAAAAGCAGGAGCAAAAAACAAAGGAGUAAGUUGUUACACACUUUUAAAUAACCAGAUCUUGUGGGAACUCACUCAUUAUCAUGAGAAUAGUACCAAAUGGGAUAGUGCUAAGCCAUUUAUGAGUAUUCUACCCUGAUGGUUAAAUCACCUUUCACCAGGCCCACUUCCAACAUUGAGAAGUACAUUUCAA
rnacentral:lncRNA from 1 species